rnacentral:rRNA from 1 species
UACGAAGGGGGCUAGCGUUGCUCGGAAUUACUGGGCGUAAAGCGCACGUAGGCGGCUUUCUAAGUCGGGGGUGAAAUCCUGGAGCUCAACUCCAGAACUGCCUUCGAUACUGGAGAGCUCGAGUCCGGGAGAGGUGAGUGGAACUGCGAGUGUAGAGGUGAAAUUCGUAGAUAUUGGGAAGAACACCGGUGGCGAAGGCGGCUCUCUGGACCGUAACUGACGCUGAAACACGAAAGCGUGGGUAGCAAACAGG